CCUACGGGAGGCAGCAGUGAGGAAUAUUGGUCAAUGGACGAAAGUCUGAACCAGCCAUGCAGCGUGAAGGAAGACGGCCCUAUGGGUUGUAAACUGCUUUUGUAUGGGAGUAAAAGCUGCUACGUGUGUGAGUAUGUAUGUAUCAUACGAAUAAGGAACGGCUAACUCCGCGCCAGCAGCCGCGGUAAUACGGAGGAACCGAGCGUUAUCCGGAUUUAUUGGGUUUAAAGGGUGCGUAGGCGGUUGGUUAAGUUAGGGGUGAAAGCCUGGGGCUCAACUGUGGAAUUGCAGUUGAGACUGGACGGCUAGAGUGUAGUAGAGGUAGGCGGAAUUCGUGGUGUAGCGGUGAAAUGCUUAGAUAUCAUGAAGAACACCGAUUGCGAAGGCAGCUUACUGGACUGCAACUGACAUUGAGGCUCGAAAGCGUGGGGAGCAAACAGGAUUAGAUACCCCGGUAGUC
rnacentral:rRNA from 1 species